GCCUGGCGUGGUGGCACUCACCUGUAGUCCCAGCUACUGGGGAAGCUGAGACAGGAAGAUCUCUUGAGUCCAGGAGUUCUGGGCUGUAGUGUGCUCUACAGAUUGAGUGUCCACACUAAGUUCGGCAUCAAUAUUGUGACUUCCAGGGAUCAGGGACCCGUAGGUUGCCUAAGGAGGGGUGAGCUGGCCCAGGUCAGAAAUGGAGGUCAAAACUCCUGUGCUGAUCAGAUCUCCUUUUCAGGUGAUGUAUUUUUUUUUCCCAAAAUGAUGUAAGCUGACUGAGUGCCUCAU
rnacentral:SRP_RNA from 1 species